GAAGAGAGGAGCUUGCUCUUCUUGGAUGAGUUGCGAACGGGUGAGUAACGCGUAGGUAACCUGCCUUGUAGCGGGGGAUAACUAUUGGAAACGAUAGCUAAUACCGCAUAACAAUGGGUGACACAUGUCAUUUAUUUGAAAGGGGCAAUUGCUCCACUACAAGAUGGACCUGCGUUGUAUUAGCUAGUAGGUGAGGUAACGGCUCACCUAGGCGACGAUACAUAGCCGACCUGAGAGGGUGAUCGGCCACACUGGGACUGAGACACGGCCCAGACUCCUACGGGAGGCAGCAGUAGGGAAUCUUCGGCAAUGGGGGCAACCCUGACCGAGCAACGCCGCGUGAGUGAAGAAGGUUUUCGGAUCGUAAAGCUCUGUUGUAAGUCAAGAACGAGUGUGAGAGUGGAAAGUUCACACUGUGACGGUAGCUUACCAGAAAGGGACGGCUAACUACGUGCCAGCAGCCGCGGUAAUACGUAGGUCCCGAGCGUUGUCCGGAUUUAUUGGGCGUAAAGCGAGCGCAGGCGGUUUGAUAAGUCUGAAGUUAAAGGCUGUGGCUCAACCAUAGUUCGCUUUGGAAACUGUCAAACUUGAGUGCAGAAGGGGAGAGUGGAAUUCCAUGUGUAGCGGUGAAAUGCGUAGAUAUAUGGAGGAACACCGGUGGCGAAAGCGGCU
rnacentral:rRNA from 1 species